rnacentral:lncRNA from 1 species
CCACCUUGCAAAUCUCCUAGGGACCUUUCACCUGCUUCUGCUACUGCAAAUGAUUGGACAUCCAUUUACAUUUCCUCUUCUUCAUGUGUGGAAGGAAACUUUUGUUCACUGUGCUUCAGGCUGCCCCUGGCCUGAAAGUGGGUCCUUGAAUUCCCCUUGUACCAUUCCAACUUGCCAAGGUGGUUAUGAGACCUGAGGGAGGUGUUUAGGCGUGGACUUUGGGCCAGGUGUGUAAAUCCAUUUGGUACCAACUUUGGGCCCCAAGGAUAAGGGCAUGUGUAGCUGCACCAGAAGAGAGGGGAACAGUGAAAACUAAAAUUUCACCCUCUGUGAUGAUCUUCACCACCACCAGUACCAACAAUGUUGUAAGUACAGAGGAUUCACCUACCCAGUCGUUUUUCCUCUCCAUCCGGGCCCUCUGCAAGAGUGAGCCAGUGCUCAGAGAUGGUGGAGGGUAUGGCUGGUGACUCAGUCUCAACUGUGUCUCAACUGUGUCCAAAGUGUCUAGGGAGAAGUCUGCUCACCGGUAGCUAUAUCCUCUCUGGGAAGGCACAGUGCCCUAAAGUGGUGAGGCUGUAGGCCUGUGGGAACUGGGGCCUCCUGCCCCUCUUUUUAUUUUUAUUUAAUACUCACAAACUUCUCUUCAUUCCCCCCCUUUUUUUCCCUUACAGUUUCUGAAAGAAGGACGGAAGUAACACCAAGAACUCCCAGAUGAAGAGGACCUUCCUGGAUCUGUAACUGGGAUUAACCAGUUCUUUACUGGGAGAGAAAGUUUCAACUAAUCCUCAGGAUAAAAGCAAACAGGCCUGUGACUGUCCCUUGAACACUGACAGUGUAAACAAGCUUCUGGCUCCUCCAGGUCAAGCAGAGCAACACUUUUCAUUAGAAUGUUGGGUUUCUUCUUUGUUAUUCAAACAUACACCCACACACAUCCCCUUGUCCCUCCCUAAUGAACAAACCUCAACAGAUGGAGAGCCUAGGCUCCCAAGACUUAUGACUGAGAAGAUGCACUUCACUCAAGGUGGGUUGGCUUGUACAGAAUGGGGGAGAGAGAAGAAAUGGGAAGCUAGUAUAGGUAAUUACUCCUCUUUUAAUACUCCUUACAGAUAGAAAUCCAAAAAAUCCUGUUCCGCAAGGUUAGCAGCCUCUGGGGCCUGGGAAACCGAUUUGGCUGAUGUGUCU